rnacentral:rRNA from 1 species
AUGCGUCUACAGAUGUACCAUCUUCCUCGUCUCAGCCUACUUAUGGCUACCUUCCUCCUCCGCUUCGAACCGUUGAUCGCCUUAAUCUUCCAAGCGUUGGUGCUGUUGUUCUUGAGCCAACUUCUUAUAGUAAUGUUGUUCAUACCAAAUGGCACCUUGCCAUGGCAGAGAUUGCUGCUCUUUGAGCACAUUGGCACGUGGGAUAUUGUUCCUCUUCCUCCUCAUGUUCGUCCCAUCACUUGGUGGGUCUAUAAAGUUAAGACUCGCUCUGAUGGUUCUCUUGAGCAUUACAAACCUCGUCUUGCGGCUCGUGGCUUUCAGCAGGAGCAUGGUUCUGAUUACGAGUCCUGA